GACGAACCGUGCGAACGUUGUUCGGAAUCACUGGGCUUAAAGGGCGCGUAGGCUGGCUGCCAAGUCUGGGGUGAAAUCCCACGGCUCAACCGUGGAACUGCCUCGGAUACUGGCGGCCUCGAGGGGGGUAGGGGCAUGCGGAACUGUGGGUGGAGCGGUGAAAUGCGUUGAUAUCCACAGGAACUCCGGUGGCGAAGGCGGCGUGCUGGACCCCGUCUGACGCUGAGGCGCGAAAGCCAGGGGAGCAAACGGG
rnacentral:rRNA from 1 species